rnacentral:lncRNA from 10 species
GUAAUGCUUCCAACUGUUCCCAUUCAGUAUUAUGUUGGCCGUGGUUUUGUCAUGGACAUUUUCAAGACGGACUAUAUGUUAGAACAUAAAGUAAGCCUCCAUACAUUUAAUAACUAUUGAAGUACUCCUGAUGGUUAAUACUGAGUGUCAACUUGAUUGGAUUGAAGGAUGCAAGGUAUUGUUUCUGGGUUUGUCUGUGAGGGUGUUGCCAAAGGAGAUUAACAUUUGAGUCAGUGGACUGGGAAAGGCAGAGGCAUCCUUAAUCUGGGUGGGCACAAUCUAAUCAGCUGCCAUCAUGGCCAGAAUAAAAAGCAGGCAGAAGAAAAUGAAGAGACUAGACUGGCUUAGCCUGCCAGCCUACAUCUUUCUCCUGUGCUGGAUGUUUCCUACCCCUGAACAUCGGACUCCAAGUACUUCAGCUUUGGAACUCAAACUGGCUUCCUUGCUCCUCAGCUUGCACAUGACCUACUGUGGGACCUUGUGAUCAU